UCGGGGCGGGGGCGGGGCCUGGCGCGUCCGCCGAGCGCGGGGGUUUGUUUAUUUUCCCGGUUGGUAGCGGCGCUGGCGCUGGUUAGAGGUUCGCCGGUGACGUGAGCGCCCGAGUUGGGGGAGAGGACCAGAACCACCUGCUGGAGAAAGGGAGCUACGGGGGCCGGGCAGGGUCCAAACGCCUCACGUGGGCGGCGGCGCCACGGUCUUCGGGGUCACAGGGAAGAGAAGGGCUCUCCUCAAGCGGGUGGAAGGAGGGAGGCCUCCCGAGGGAAUGAGACUCCAGGCCACUCCCCCGCAGCAAGGCAGGAUCACCUGCGUCGCGGAGAGCAGUUAGAGGUCCCUGGAGUGGAAAAGGGCAGUGGGACCUGGUAGCUUGGGUUCCCUGCAACUUGGGGUUCGACCUCCAGGCAAUGAAGUAGGGAUGGUCCUGCAAGUCAAGAUUCCAGUAGCAAGAGUGCAUCAGAUCUCUGUAAGGAAAAUAACUAACAUUGCUCAGUUCCCUGUAGAGUUGCAGGGCGCUUUGACGUUAUCUCCCUUGGUUCUCCAUCAGGUCGUAGUGGACUAAUUUUACAGGCGAAGUUAAGUGACUUACCCAAAACCUCACAGCUAAUAAACGGCAGAGCCGGCACCCAGCUGUACUGGCUUCCAGCGCAUCCCAUUAUCUCCAUAAAUCCCCCUGAUUCAACUAAUAUUAGACGCCCCACAGGUAAGAUGCUUCAGAGUUAGAGGGGAGUUGAAGAUACCUUUGCCUUCAAAGAAGUAAGGAAUGAAACAAAGAUAAAACAGACAAUAAAAGACAAACCAUGAUAGGUGCCACGUGAAAAGUGGCAGAGUACUGCCGGGAAUCAAAGAACCGUGUAUAUCUGUCUUGGGGAUAAGGAAAGAAACGCAGCAUGAAGGAGUAGGCAUUUGGGAUUGACCUUGAAGGAGACAGGGAGAGUUUUACAGCAAGAAGGGAUAGCAUGAGAAUAUAUAUGAAGGCGAAUCAGUGAAAGUUGUGUUGGGGAAAGAGCAAAGACUCCAGGUAUGUUGAGAGGUAGAAAAGACAAAGGAGUAUGGGGCCUAAGAUACCAAAUGGAUGAAUUUAUAUUUAAUUCAGUAUUUUGAGUUUUUAUGGUUCAGAAGUUUGGGGGAAGAAAAGGAAGGUUUUUUUUUUCUUUAUGCUAGUGAUUUAUCUGUGAAGGGAAGCAGAAAUCAGAGGUGGAAAAACUGACAGAUCUACUGUAGGCCAGGUAAAAGGUAAUGAUGAGUCUGACCUAAAGGGACAGCCAGGGGAAUUUAAAGAGCAUAGUUGAGAGAUGAUGUGCAUGCAGAAUCUAUAGAAUUUGCUAACUGAUUGAUUAAUUGUGGGUAGGAAGAGAGAAAUCAAAGAAAGUGGAGGUUUUGAGUUUCUAGAUAAUUGCAAGAGAGAAAAGAGACAAUUACAAAGGAAAGGAGAAGGAGCUACUUCUUGAGAGAAGAUCAGUUUAGAUUUAGACAUUUUAAGAAUUCAAAGGGUUGUCAAGACAGCCAGACGGACAUGGACACUAAUAAGUUAGAAAUAAAGGUUUUGUAAUAUGGGAAAGAGGACUGAGCUAGAAAAUAGACUCAUAGAUAAUCAGCCUAGGAGUGAUAUUGCUGUGAGAUAAAAGAAGAAAACAAAGUCAGAAUCUUGGAAAACACCCUCUUCAGAGUCUCGCUGCUCAAAACGUGGUCAGUGGCCCAGCAGCACUGACAUGAGGACCUUAGUUGGAAACUCAGAAUCUCAGGCUCCACCCCAGACCUGCUGAACCAGCAUCUUCAACUUAACAAGAACCCGAAGAGAUUUGUGCCACAUCAAAAAGUUUGAGAAGCUCUGAUCUAGCUGGACCCUGGACACGGUGACUCUGAUUCAAUUAUGCAGAUGACCACAAGCCUCUGGGGUUGGCAGAGCCACAAGAAAGAAGGUGCCUGGAUGAAGGAGAGCUACCCACUGACCUGGACACCCAAUUAUUCAUCUGUCUUAGAGCUAUUGGAAUCCUGGAUCAUUGUGGGAAAUGAAAAAUACUUCGAUGGAAUCAGCAGCCAUUGAUCCAAUGCCAACUCCAAGACUGGAACGUCGCAAUGAUAGUUCCAAGGCGGAAAUUUGACGUAAUUCUUUUCGACACAGUUUUACAGGUGUGACACCAUGAAGUCGUCCCACAUUUCCCACAACCUGAAUUUGGGAUGACAGUCGACUGAGAUUUUGUAAACUGAUUAUCAUCUGUUUCUGUUUUAUUCUCAUUACCUAACAUAUGCCCACUGGGGGGUGCUAAAGAACUAUGAAUUGGAGGUAAUUCUGGGAUAUCUUCCCAGAGCUUUUGAGGAUUUGGCUGUGUUCUUAAGCUGCUUGCUGAACUGUCCAUUUCUCUUUCUCUUCCACUUAAUUUCAUACUUUCAGGUCUGGAUGCCCAUUUUAAUUCUUCUGAAAGCAUGCCUCCUUCUGGCUUCAGGACUCCAUCUCCAGCCUUAUGAUCUAAAAAUAAUCCCCAAACCAAAAAAUUAGAUAUUAUUUCCUCAAAAUUAGGUGUUUUAAUCAAAACAUCUUAACAUAAAUACAUUAUUAUCACCCAAUAUGCAUAAUGUUGUUCAACUUUUUUGUUAAAUGACUUAUUUUAGAUGAACAGAUGUGUGAAUAUGAAUAUUUUUAUUUCA
rnacentral:lncRNA from 1 species